rnacentral:rRNA from 1 species
AUUGAACGCUGGCGGCAUGCUUUACACAUGCAAGUCGAACGGUAACAGGCCUUCGGGUGCUGACGAGUGGCGAACGGGUGAGUAAUGCAUCGGAACGUACCCAGAGGUGGGGGAUAACGCAGCGAAAGCUGUGCUAAUACCGCAUGUGAUCUGAGGAUGACAGCGGGGGACCGAGCAGCAAUGUUUGGCCUCGCGCCUUUGGAGCGGCCGAUGUCGGAUUAGCUAGUUGGUGGGGUAAAGGCCUACCAAGGCGACGAUCCGUAGCUGGUCUGAGAGGACGACCAGCCACACUGGGACUGAGACACGGCCCAGACUCCUACGGGAGGCAGCAGUGGGGAAUUUUGGACAAUGGGCGCAAGCCUGAUCCAGCAAUGCCGCGUGCGGGAAGAAGGCCUUCGGGUUGUAAAGCGCUUUUGGCAGGAACGAAACGGUGUCCGCUAAUACCGGGCGCUAAUGACGGUACCUGCAGAAUAAGCACCGGCUAACUACGUG